CUGCAUUCCGAAACCCUCUCGGUAGCGGUGAAUGCUUCCGAGAUACGAGCGAAUGCUACAGCAAGUGCAGGGAGUCCAAAGGGCUGCGCUUCUCCCCCGGCUCAGUCUUAUUUCAGACCUGCGACAGCU